rnacentral:rRNA from 1 species
AAUCAAUGCUGGCGGCGUGCCUAACACAUGCAAGUCGAACGCGAAAGGGGCUUCGGCCCUGAGUAGAGUGGCGAACGGGUGAGUAACACGUGGGUGACCUACCUUCGAGUGGGGGAUAACGUCCCGAAAGGGACGCUAAUACCGCAUGACAUCCCGCCUUUGAACAGGUGGAGAUCAAAGCUGGGGAUCGCAAGACCUGGCGCUUGAUGAGGGGCCCGCGUCUGAUUAGCUAGUUGGUGAGGUAACGGCUCACCAAGGCGACGAUCAGUAUCCGGCCUGAGAGGGCGGACGGACACACUGGGACUGAGACACGGCCCAGACUCCUACGGGAGGCAGCAGUGGGGAAUUGUUCGCAAUGGGCGCAAGCCUGACGACGCAACGCCGCGUGGAGGAUGAAGGUCUUCGGAUUGUAAACUCCUGUUGCCCGGGACGAAUGGCUCCGACCUAACACGUCGGAGUGUGACGGUACCGGGUGAGGAAGCCCCGGCUAACUCUGUGCCAGCA